GCGGGUUUAGCUCAGUUGGGAGAGCGUCAGACUGAAGAUCUGAAGGUCAUGUGUUCGAUCCACUUAAACCGCA
rnacentral:tRNA from 1 species